AUUGAACGCUGGCGGCAGGCCUAACACAUGCAAGUCGAACGGUAACAGGAAGAAGCUUGCUUCUUUGCUGACGCGUGGCGGACGGGUGAGUAAUGUCUGGGAAACUGCCUGAUGGAGGGGGAGAACUACUGGAAACGGUAGCUAAUACCGCAUAACGUCGCAAGACCAAAGAGGGGGACCUUCGGGCCCCUUGCCAUCGGAUGUGCCCAGAUGGGAUUAGCUAGUAGGUGGGGUAACGGCUCACCUAGGCGACGAUCCCUAGCUGGUCUGAGAGGAUGACCAGCCACACUGGAACUGAGACACGGUCCAGACUCCUACGGGAGGCAGCAGUGGGGAAUAUUGGACAAUGGGCGCAAGCCUGAUGCAGCCAUGCCGCGUGUAUGAAGAAGGCCUUCGGGUUGUAAAGUACUUUCAGCGGGGAGGAAGGGAGUAAAGUUAAUACCUUUGCUCAUUGACGUUACCCGCAGAAGAAGCACCGGCUAACUCCGUG
rnacentral:rRNA from 1 species